AGUCACUCACCCAUGCCCACGAUUUUUUGGUUGGUUUGAUGUUGGAGCUGCCAAUGGUGUUGAUGCAGCGUUCAUGGUGUGAGCAGUGGUUUUGCAGUCAUUUUCCAGUUGAGAUGUCUUGAAAUGGAGCUUGUGCAGACAUUCAGUUCAACAUCAUACUUCAAUGUGUUAUUUGCCUAUGUUGAUGACUUGGUGUCCUUGCAGUGUUGAGGUGCAAAAUAAUUGAUGAUGCCUGGUGGUUGUCGGGCAUGUUUUAUCGGCUGCCUUUUGUCGAUGUGUCGUCUUGUUUCUUGCCGCCUGUACACACGUUAAGUUUAAUCGUUUGCUGCCGUUCCAUCUACUUGAUCUAUUGGUGAAACUGAGACGAGGUUGCAGAAAUUGAAGACUGAUACGUUAUCAGAUUGAGACAAAUUAAAAGUGCAUGCAUGUUCUCCCUUUUCCCCAAGUAAACAGUUUCCGCCAUUGGUUAACAUCUGGUCGAAUGGGAAAUAGCAAUUUGAAUGAUAUCUAUUUUUGGAGAAAAAUUAAUGUGACUAUGAAGUAGUUUUCCCUUAUGAUUCGAUCAACUAUCCUUUCAAC